rnacentral:rRNA from 1 species
GACGAACGCUGGCGGCGUGCCUAAUACAUGCAAGUCGAGCGGCCGCAUCGAAAGCUUGCUUUUGAUUCGUUAGCGGCGGACGGGUGAGUAACACGUGGGCAACCUGCUCUGUAGACGGGGAUAACACCGAGAAAUCGGUGCUACUACCGGAUAACACGACCUAUCGCAUGACGCUUCGUUGCAAGACGGCGCACGCUGUCGCUUCAGCAUGUGCCGGUGGCGCAUUAGCUAGUUGGUGAGGUAACGGCUCACCAAGGCGACGAUGCGUAGCCGACCUGAGAGGGUGAUCGGCCACACUGGGACUGAGACACGGUCCAGACUCCUACGGGAGGCAGCAGUAGGGAAUCUUCGGCAAUGGGCGAAAGUCUGACGGAGCAACGCCGCGUGAGUGAAGAAGGCCUUCGGGUCGUAAAGCUCUGUUGUUAGGGAAGAACAGGUGACGCAGUAACUGGCGUUACUGUGACGGUACCUAAAGAGAAAGCAACGGCUAACUACGUG